AUAUAUACUGUAUAUAGUCUAUACUUGGAUUUGCUUAAAUGUGGGAGUCUGUACUUGGAUGUGCUUCAAUGUCUCUCUGCUCUCUGAAAGCUCGUAGGGACAAGGAAAGAAAACCAAAGUCACGAGCCUCUUAAAAAAGAAGCCUUGAACUGUAAAGUUGUUCAGUCGUAAUGCUUGAAGGAUCCCGAAGCAUAUUGGGUGCCCUUCCUUCCUAAAAUCUGGAAGUCAAGGCCCUGAUUCUGAGUCCAAGAGUCUAGUAGGUGUGUUUACUCAGAAACCACUCCCGGGGUCUUAAAAUAGUGUCUUGCUCACAUUUAGUCUGAAAAAAGUGCUACCUAGCCUGUGAAAAAGUUGAUGCUGAAAACAACGAGAGUCUUGAUGAUGAUGAUGAUGAUGAUGAUGAUGGGCGUGGGGCAAAAAAAGAAGAAAGGGUUUAGGAUCGGAGGGUGAGAAGGAGGACUGGUUUGGUGUAGAGACUGAUGUGACAGAGCAGCCUUUCUAGACUAAGCUUUGAGCAGGGCCCAGAGUGUUCCUCAAAAGUGUUAGCUAAAUACGGGAUUUUAUUUUAUUUUUUAAAAAACAAACACACCCGAAAAGCCCGUUUUGUUUAAAACGAUAAAACCAUGCUCCUAUUUUUUCUUUCUUUCUUUUUAUGGCUUUGCUCUCUAGGCGAACUUGACCUUCCUGAGCACCCUCUCUUUCUCUUUCUCUCCCCUCCCUUCCUUUUUUAAAACUCCGGUAGUUUUAACCCACUUCUUCUCCAAACUGAAUCAACCUGAAUAUCUCUGCCCUGGAGAAAAAAAAAACUGAGUAAGGAAAAAGUUUAAUAAACUCCUCACUCAGCUUUUUCCAGGGCAGAGAUAUUCAAGUUCUUAUUCAGGAAAAAGGAAAAAGAAAGUGGGAGGAAUCCUGGAUUAUUCCUGUCCCGGUUCAAAGAAGAGGACUAGUGGCACCUAAUGUGGGAUAGACUGACAAAAAAUGUUUUUAAUCUAUCCUACAUUAGGUGCCACUAGUCCUCCUCUAUGCACCGGGACAGGAAUGAUUCCUUCUACUUUCUUUUUCUUUUUCUUUUCUUCUUUUUGCCGAUGAGCUUCUCAUUUUAGUAGAUCUAUUUGCAUAUGAAUGAAGGCGUCUUUUCCCCUCCUCGCUGUGUGUUUCUUCAGGGGAUGGUGAUCGGGUCCUUCCACCUUACCUCGCCUCCUUUCUCUGGAAGCCAGGUCCGCCUGCCAUGAAGAAGGUGGCUUUGGGUGGGUGCUUGGGAGGCAGGGCCCAUUGGAGUGGGAAGCUCUCCUGCCAAAGGGCCCAUUGGAGUUGAGUAGAGAGAUUUCGGGCUUUUGCGCACCAAGGCAAGGGAAUGGGCCAAGUGGCGCAGCUCUCCGGCUUUAGCGAGAGGUGAAGCUAGAAGGCUGGGUUUGUCUGAUUCCUUGAAAGGGGGGAAAGAAAAGCCUAGGCCGGGGGUGGUGGUGGGUCUUUUGGCUGGCUUGGGAGGACCGUGCCCAGAGGGCGGAGUUCCUGGCAUUCCCUACCGCCUCACCGGAGGAGACUCCGUUUCCACGAUUUCACAGCAGACAGACGAGAGAGAAAGGAAGAGCCGUUGGAAGACCCACGCAAGCCAUCCAGGACGCCGGAUUUAAAAAAAUAACCGCGGUGGUGGAUUAAAUGCCUUCCUCUUCUCCCUUGCCCUCAGAACAAGUGGCAAGAAGGAGGAAGCCCUGGCGCGAUUUCCCAAGGAGAAGGCGAGGAAGAGGCCUCUGAAAUCCUUUGUCUUUGGAAACGUUUGGGGGAGAGAAGCACCUGCGGCGGACCUAAAGGAGAACCUCGGGAAUCCCAUCUGCUCGGUCUCCUGGAUCUUCAAGCUUUUUCCCGACUUGGGUGACCAGAUGUCCUUAACCGCAAAGGAUGACAAGAUACCGCAAAGUGGAGGACAUGGCAAUCAAAAUGGAGGACCUCACCAAAGAAAAGCUUACAAUACUCACACACGUAAGGGCGAGCGACGACGAUGAACCAAGACCAGUAACAAAAGGAGAGGAAUUGUCUGUGGGAAGGAAAUGGGAAGAAAGAAACAUCCUUGAGAGCAAGCAAGAGAGGAAGAGAGAGGGAGAAAAACACUUGACAGAUGAAGAACAUAUCCAGUGCAACAAACACAACAGACAUUAGCUGGACAUUGCCUUUGAGGUCUUCAUGGGGAAAGAUGCUGAAAAUAAAGAGAAUCAAACAUGUUAAUCUCUCCUGUGGAGUUCCCUCUCUUUCCCCGCUGUUCCUUGUUAACUUGGUUAAACAUUCAAAAUGAAAGCUGUAAUGGGGUCAAUGGACUGAUUCCUAAUUUUGGAGAGGGCAGGAAAGAGAAUGAGAGACUCUUACAUGUUUAUUAUCUUCCUUUCUCACUCCCAGAUUGCAAUUCUGUCUGGAAUAUAUUUUGUUGAUGUUGUUGUGCACCUUUAAUUUCUGACAUCUGUCCACCCCAAGAUUAAAGUAUCACUUGGCAAGAUUUGUUCAGAGGAGGUUUACCAUUGCCUUCUUCUGAGACUGAGAGAGUGUGACUUGUCCAAGGUGAGCCAGUGGAUUUUCACCACUGAGCAGAAUUUGAACCCUGGUUUCCUAGUCCAACACUCUAAUCACUGCACCAUAUCAGGACAUACAUUUUGGUAUCUCAUCAGCCCAGAGAGUGGUUAUCAUUCCAGCUGUUAAAUUUCAGCAUAACCACCUCCUCUAUAAGCAACAAAAUUUAUUAAUACAAUUCAGACCUUUCAAAUGACAACCAAGUUAUUUUUCCCAGACACAUUAGCUGUUUCAUUUGGACCAUGACUUUCUUGACCUAUCUUGAAAACAAGUCACUUACAAACUUUAUAAAAAUAGUAAAAUUUGGCUUGUUGGAAGUUUUUUUUUGAGGGGAGGGGUUUUGUUAUUUGGAUUGGCACACUUGGCAGUGCUCUAAAUGCACAUAGUACUUUGGGCUGGACAGGUGUCAAUGCCAUCUGACAGAAAAGCUUUUGUAGAUCUAAGGGUGUAUGAUUUGGGGUGACCAUAAAACAUGAUUUAUGGCUUAGGUGUCUGCCCCAGUGAUAAGAAAAACCAACGAGGAAAGGCUCUCAUAAACACUUAUUUAACAAUAAUGCAAAAAUUUACUAAACUCAUUAGCUGCAUAUGCUUACUCCAACAAUACAAUUUAAACUAUUCAGUGGAAUAAUAAAAAUGAUAUCAGCCAUCUAGGAAAUAACCAUAGAACAAAAAAUAUUUUAAAUAUUUUAAAAACUGAACUGAGUGAGUCCUUCGAAAGAUCAGGGCUGGUUCGCCACAUUUGGAAGGAAGUGAUACAAUAAAGUCAUUUCCAAUUUAGGGCACUCCAAGGAAAACCUGUCACAGGAGUUCCUUGGCAAGAUUUGUUCAGAGGGGUUUGCCUUUCUCUGAGGCUGAGAGAGUAUGACUUGCCCAAGGUCACCCAGUGAGUUUUAAGGGCUGAGCCAAUCCUGCUCUCCAGAGUUGUAGUCCAGUGUUCAAACCACUAGAGCAUGCUAGCUCUAAAAUCUAAAAUAUCAGCCCCUGUAACAAUAACUUUGAGUUCCCAAACCACCCAGCUUCUACGCACACCCAGGACUGUAAAUUAUUCAGAAUCGUUGACAUGUACUAGAAUCCCCUUCCAUAUUCUUGAGGAACUCAGUACAGAUAUCACCUGUCUGGUGGACUCCAAGUGGCUUUUGGAGGACUACUUGUGAACAACACUAUCAAAAAGCCUGGCCAUACCCACAGAAUGGAGCAGAAAAGAAAGAAGUGAAACCAUGGAUCCCUUUCACAAUGCUCAGUUAUAUCACUCCGAUCCCUCUUUAAUUGCCAUGUCUCAUCCCUUGGAAAUCCUAGGAUUUAUAGUUUGGCCCAGAAUUCUAAAUACACCUCCCUACACUUCUGAUCCCAGGAUUCCACAGGAUGAAACCAUGGCAGUUAAACUGGUUUUAGAGCACUGUAACUGUGUACAGUAGUGGCGAAAGGACCUGGGAGUGUACAAGGGCCUGUUCCACUUCAGACUAUGGGUGGGAGAUCCCAUUUUAAUGCACCAAUUGCCUUGCUCUGUGCAAAAACUGAAUAAAAGAUAUUUCUAAAAUCUUUCUCUCUCUGGUGAUUUUUGAAGAAAAAAUUGCCAAAAGUUUUGACAUUGACAAAAGAGAGCAAAAAUGCCAUGGAGGGGAGAGAAUGUUUUUCUCAGUAUAGAGUGCUAUACUCUGUUUUGAUGCCUCAAAUGGGGAAUCUUCAUCCAGGCCUAUGUGCUGGAAGGGUGCUAAACCAUUGAGUGUAUACCAAAAGCUGCCACAGAAAGAGGAGCUGGUGGUGGGAUCAUUAGAGUUGGGAGGGAACACAAGGGCCAUCUAAUCCAAUCCCACUGCUAUGCAGGAAUACAUAACUAAACAAACUCCUGAAAAAGCCAAUCUAACCUCAAUUUAAAGACCUCCAAAGGUGGAGAGUCCACCUCCCUCUCAAGUAAUCUAUCCCCCCCAUCGGUUUUUACACUAUAGAAGUUCUCCCUAAUAUUUAGGAGGAAUCACUUUUUUAUGUCAUUGGGAUCCACUGGUUGGUGUUCUAGUCUCUGGCAAAACAGAAAACAAGCCAGUGGCCAGGAAAGAAACUGUGGGAAAGAUGGGAUUCCUUUGCUAGAGGUGCUGGAGGUGGUGUUUUGGUGCUUCAAGAGUCUUGAAGACAGUUCCUAGUCGUUCUUUACACAACUUUCAUCGAACUGAUUUGCUGAAGGAAGGAGAAAGAAAGCCUUCUGCACAGCCUUAGAAAGCCAGUGGGGUGUAGUGGUUUGGGCAUUGGACGAUAAUGCCGGGGAACAGGGUUCGAAUCCCCCGGAAA